CUUUUACUCCCUCCGUUCAGAAUUACUUGUCGCAACUAUGGAUGUAUCUAGAAUACAUCUAGAUACAUCCAUUUUUACGACGAGUAAUUUGAAACGGAGGGAGUACAAA
rfam:Triticum urartu cultivar G1812 contig670481, whole genome shotgun sequence.